rnacentral:rRNA from 1 species
UCGCUGUGAAGAUGCAGUGUACCCGCGGCAAGACGGAAAGACCCCGUGAACCUUUACUAUAGCUUGACACUGAACAUUGAGCCUUGAUGUGUAGGAUAGGUGGGAGGCUUAGAAGUGUGGACGCCAGUCUGCAUGGAGCCGACCUUGAAAUACCACCCUUUAAUGUUUGAUGUUCUAACGUUGACCCGUGAUCCGGGUUGCGGACAGUGUCUGGUGGGUAGUUUGACUGGGGCGGUCUCCUCCUAAAGAGUAACGGAGGAGCACGAAGGUUGGCUAAUCCUGGUCGGACAUCAGGAGGUUA